GAAGAAGAUGGUAAGGGUAUGAGUCACCUCUAGCAAUGAACAGUGCUGGUUAAUAUUUCACAUUUUUACCUCUCCUGCCCUUAGAAAUCACAAUACUUGACACCAGGUCACAAAAUUAUUAAAACUUCAAGUGGCUACACUUCCUUCUCCACGUGAGUCCUCACUUCUCCUUAACAUUUUACUCUGGCAAUCCCUUCAGGCUUCUGGCCUUUUCUCCCUCCCUUUGACCCUCAUAACUAAUUAAAUCUGGACAAGUCUUUGGUGAAAAUAGUUUCCUUUAAAGUUAUUCAUUCAAAGUUCCCCUUAAGGCAUUCUUUGUCACUUUAGCCCAGCCUGCAAUCUUUACAUGAAGUUGAAAGAAGUGAGCUAUUUUUAUAAGAUA
rnacentral:lncRNA from 1 species